rnacentral:lncRNA from 1 species
AUAGACAUAUUGAACGUAUGACUUUGAGAUUGAUAGCAAUAUUGAGUUGAAGGUUGUUUAAAGGGCUCAACACUAAGGCAUUCUUGGCGGUACAAAUGGUGGCACUUAAUUUGUCAACUAUUUUAAGCACUACAAGUGUCAAAAAUUUACGAUGAUGUAUUGCUCUUUUUUCUUCUUUUUCUUCAAUUUAACUGGAUGUAAACUUAACAUCCACCUAGGCAGGACCACCUAGGUACAUGGCUUAAUAUUUUGCAUCUUGUUUGACUACGUGGAAUGAGAUUGAUUUAUAAAUUAUUCAUGAAUGUUGCCAAGUUGAUAUUUCACAUUGACUUACUACAUCUUAUUUGAUAAGUUCUCAUUUAUUAGAUUAUAACUAUCCUUCUAAGUUUCUUCUUUUAUUUAUGGUUUAUUUUUAAUUUAUCAUUUGCCAAGUGCCUACUCACUAGGCAGCCCCCUGGCUGCCCAUCUGCAGCAUACAGUCUUGUAAAACAACUAGACCUGAUCAUCGUAACAUGUUCCAUGCUAAGACUGCUCCUAGCCUUUGAAUUGACAUAAUAAAAUUAUGGAUUUCAAUAGAGAGCAUGUGUAUACACAUCAUUCAGACAUCAAACUCAGGGCAUAAUAUUGACUUUGAUCUGGCUUAACCUAUCCCAGCUCAGCUGGGUAAGCAAUCCUACCUGGACUCCUUUUCGAGCCCACCUGAGUUGACAUGAUAAAAUCCUGGAUUUCAAUAGAGAGCAUGUGCACAUACAUACCGACCACAUCAAAUUCAGGGCAUGAUAUUGACCUUGAACUGGCCUAGUCCCAGCUCAAAGGGGGUGAAAGAAUAACCCAACCUGGACUCUUUUGAGUUGGCUGGUGGACCUGAUGUGCCAACCUGACACAUUUCUAUUCAAAAUUGAAUCAUCUGCUACUGUAUAUCCAUGGGGCUUCUGCAAUACUUUGUCAUUCAGAUUUGAGUAGGACAUGUUAAAAGGUUAAAUUUUGUUACAUUGGGGAUGGAAUUCCUAGUGCUAUUAGGAUUUUGUAGAGAGGUGAUUGAUAUGCCUCUGUGUACAGGGCUAUGUGAAAAUUCAAGUUUCGCAGUAGCCGGAAAUAGAUUUGCUGGGAGAAGUCUCAGUUUAUAUUUUUCUCCCUCCUUUCAUUCACCCUUCUCUAAUGUCUUUGUUUUAUCUCCUUACAUGCUGCACCAAAAUAGUGUACAAAGUUUCUAAUUGCUCUCUUUUUGUCUUCUGCUCGGACAUUUGGGGCCAUAAAUCUGUCCACUUUUUCCCGUGCUGGAGAAAUUUUAAUCAUGUAUACGUUUAACUGCUAACAAGCUCUCGAGCGUGCUAGACCAGAAACAAGUUAAAACUGAAUUUUAUCAUAUUGUACAGAAUGUUAUGAGCUUCCAUAUGACAAUGGUCCAUGAAAAGGACCUGCCUGCUAUGAAGCAAUGAAGAAAGCAGAGAACUCACGUCCUGGAUGAAAGACCUCAAGAUGCGCAAACGGCAAGGACUUUAGGGUUGGGACAGGCCGCCUGGGCUGAUCGAUUGUUAGAUUGGACAAUAAUCUGAUAAUACAAAACCAUGUGAAAUUAAUCCGACGGUGGAUAACUAGGGUAAAAAGGGUACAUAGCUGGGAAAAUAUUACUCAUUUUUCCUCCUUUUUUCUGUGUGUGUUCCUGUAUCUUUGGAAAAUUGUAUUUAUAUAAUUGGGAAAUUUGUUAAAAGUUCUUGCGGUAGUUCUUCACUCUCUCUUUUUUAUUUGGCCAGGGGACCAGCAACUGUUACUUUGGUUGGUGCCUUCCUUGUUCUCCAAGUGAGAUGUUUCAGGUUCAAAUAUGUGAUAGUGGUGAAUAACUACAGUAUUCUCAAAAAGAAUUCCAUCAAGACCGCAGGAUCAAGAUACCUAGUAGCCUUACCUGUCAAUGAUGGGAGUUAACUGCUUCAGUAGUUUUUGACGACGAUCCUAGGUGUCUUCAGGAGAAAUUUCUUUCAUUCUUAAUUUCUUAACACUAUGAUAAAUAUACAAAAGAUAGCCUUUGGUAAGCCUAGCGUUGACUCUCUGCUGAGAGAGAGAGAGAGAGAGAGAGAGAGAGAGAGAGAGAGAGAGACNNNNNNNNNNNNNNNNNNNNAGAGAGAGAGAGAGAGAGAGAGAGAGAGAGAGAGAGAGCACCAAAGGCCUCAAUGUUUAUGGUAAAUGAGGCGAUUCUCGUGUUUCCAGGGUGACAUUAUCUGAUGCCUCUCAGUGAACAGUGGAAGUAGAAAUAAUAAACGUACUUAGUUCGCAUAGUAUUAGAGCCAGUUAUCUCCUAAAGUUAGGACUAAUGGUUGGUCCACAUUAGUAGCAACCCGUAGCCUUCUCCAUUUCACGCCAAAUUCUCCUUUCAUGUGCAACUAUUAUUAUUUUUGGCCUCUACAAUCUAACAACAUAUUUUUGAAAAUAUUUAAAAUAUUUUCUUCUCAAAAAAAAUAAAAAUAAACUUAAUAUUUCCGCUCGUGCAGACCUAGGUUUGUUGUUUAGCAAUAAAAUGAAUCCAAAUCCGCAUCAAACAAAGCAACAAAUUAAUAACUUGUUAAGUUUGCAGAAAAAAUCUUUUCUUACCAUAAUAUUUCUUUUAAAAAAAAACUGAUUUCUGAUAAUAUAAUGUUUGAGAAAAUAGUUUGACCCAAUUCUAGCAAACUUUUGAUUUUAAGAGAAGAACUAGUAAAUGCAUUAAGAUGAGAAUGCUUGAUUACAUUAUGUAUUAUAUUUGAUUGCGCCUAAUUGUUUUUUUAUCAUCCUUAAUUAGCAGCACGUGUUGCCUGAAUUUCGAGAAUCUAAUAUACAAUUUUUCACGUAAAUUACAAUAGAUGUUGUCUGUCGGGGCCAGGGGCGGCCCAAGCCUUAGGCGACCUAGGCGGUCGCCCAAGGCCCCGGCUCGAAGGAAGGCCCCCGCCAGACCGGCAGACCGCGACUCCUAGGCCUAGCCUCCCAGCUCCCACACCCACAAUCCCACUCCUAGCUACAGCCUACAGUGUACGUAGAGCCUCUACAAGACGCUUGAGGCAGGGCCGCAGGAGCCAACGGCUACCUCGAUAAGACGCCUGAGCUACUGAGGGUGUCUCGCCGCGACGCCAUCCCGUGACCGGUGACUCCCGUCCCAAUCCUAUCAGCCAUCGCCCAUCAUCCUUUUCUUUAAAAUCCUCAUCAUCCUUCUCCACUCCUCCUCAAUCCUUUUCUGCAGCUGAGCUCCUCUUCUACUGCUCUACAUGCUGCAAGUCUGCAACAUCGGCCCAAGCCUUUAAAGUUUAAAAUCCUCUUCGCCGGCGAGGUCGUCUCCUUAGUCCUCCGCCUCCCCGCGCUGCCUCCCCGGCAUCCCCCGAGGCUGCGACCUCCUCGCCUCCCUCCCGGCUGCCUGCAAGUUUGCAAGUCUUCUCCGCGCCAGCGAGCUGGCGAGGUCGGCUCCUCUGCCUCCCCGGCAUCCCGCGACCUCCUCGGCUCCUCACCUCCCUCUCGGCUCCCGUUCGGCCGUCCCCUGAGUCCCUGACUCACGUCUGUGAAACUGCGACGGUGCAACCGCAUCUUCUUCACGUCAGAUCGUCAACCCGCUGCACUUGAGUUGUAACUUGUAAGUCUCUCUCUGACUUAAAGAUGUUUGAUGAAAUGCCUAAACCAGUUAACCAUAUGUUAUUUCUUUCUGUUUUUUAGGCAAAGGAUGGGAAAGUAUAUUGGAUUCAUUGCAUUUUUGAUUUAUAUAAGAAUAUGAGAUGAAGAAUGAUAUAAAAGGAAAGAAAAACAAAGUUAAAAUCAAAGCUGGUUGAUGUCUGAGCAUGAUGGUUUAAUUUCUUGGUUUGCUUGGAGAACUUCAAAGCUGCUUUUGGUUGCACAACAUUUUGAGGUUCAGGAUGGUAGAUGUCAACCCAAGCACAAUCAAGAUCAUGAGGUUGGGCUCCACAUAAUUAACAGUUUACCUUGCAUCAUAAUGUGGUAAAUGGUAAUAUAGGUAUACCAUAUAGAUCAGUUCACAUGGGGGUCUGGAAACCAGUAGUCACGUGAAUCACACGGUGUUGUCGCAUGUGGCCUGUGGGAUCAUGGUUUAUUCAUGCAAGAUUCUUUCUUGGGAUUAGGCUAUUCAUUAACAACACAAGACUCAAAUAUAAUGUGCAGGCUCUCAGUAUCUCUUCUUUACUUUGACAACAUCAUCGUCAUAUACAUAUCCAACCUAUCUAAAGAAAAAAAAAAUCUUAACCGUUUUUAUGAACAACUUAGGUAGGAUAUGCACCUCAAAAUUAUUGAAAGUUUAAUUAGCAAUUUUGCAUCUCAAAAAGCUGGACGGUUUAUUUUUAAAUAAAUUUUUAAAGUAUUUUACACUUAUUAAAAAUUUAUUAUUAUUAUUAUUAUUUUUAAAAAAAUCUCUCUUAAUAAGCUUGCCUUAGGCCUCCAAAUGUAUUGGGCCGUCCUGGUCGAGACCAAUGUACAUGUAAUCCUACUAUCUCGAUAGCGUGACAUCUAACUCACGAUAAGUUUUCUUUGAAAAUGUUAUUAGUUGAAUCAUCGAAAGGCUGUAUAAUACCUGUAACUUUCAUUGAGAAAAUUCCUUUAAAAAUAUAAAAAAAGAGCUUUCAUUGAGAAAAGCCAAUCUUGAUGUGAUCUUGUACCGUGAACGGGUGUCCAUGUGAGGAUCCAUUGGUCAUUUGAAACAUGUUCGAUGAUUUUGUUGUAAUUUUAUUUUCCGGCGAAACCCUAAAGUCGAAACCAGGUAUAUAAAACUCGUCGUGGAGCCCGGCUCCUUCUUUAUCGCCUGUGUUUCAGCCGUAAGCUCCAUUUCCUUCGUUUCCUGUCAAGUUCUUUGUGAUCGGAGAUUCUUUUUAUUUCUUUUCGUGCUGGAUUUGCCUAUGUUCUGGAGUCUUGAGCAUUUUCCAACUUUUUCUUCUUUUUUUUUUCCCUUUCCCAAUCCUUGAGCUUGAUGAAAGAGAGUUGGAAUUAUGGACUUCAUAUACGAAACACAAUACCCUAAACCGAAGGUACUUUUUUUUUGUGGGAUAUUUUUUCAACUUUUUCAAUUAAAUUUAUCGUGUGAUCUUGAUUUUGAGGGUUUCAAUUCGAAAUUGCUUAAAGAAUGAUUUUUUUUCUGCGGAGAGGGAACCUCAAUGUGAUUUUUUUUAAUGCAAAUGUAUGUUGAGAGGGGAAAGAGUGUGAGGCAUCUGAUAAUCCUCAUAGCGAAAGCAGAUGUAAUCACUAAAUAUUGGAUGUCUUUCCCAUAUCAAAACAGAAUCUUAAUGCUUGCCUGCCUGCUUCCAUUGUGGCUCGCAAGUUUGGCUUUUCUGUUACAUGCCAUGCUAAUUUUCUUUUUAGGUAGCCAUUUUCCUAGUUUUCUAGUUUACUUGAUCUUUAUCAUCUCAUCACUAAAGUCUUUUGAAGCCAUGAGCGACAAAAGGAGGUUAAAAAAAACUAUUUUAUUAAAUUACUCUUUGCACUCUACAAAGGGAAGUUCCAAUACUCUUUAUGUUUUUUUUUUUUUUGAAGGAAAAGAGUAUUCCAAAUUUAUUAAAGAUAGAAUAUCAUUUAUUUUUUGUAAAGGCUCUAAAUAAAUUCGUUCUUCAGAUUUUCUUCAAAAUUUUUCUAUCGAGCACUUCAUGCCGGGCUAACGGAGCUAAGUCUCGGCUAAUUCUGAAAACACAAGUGUUCUAAUCCGAACAACUGGGGAACUCGCAAUGAAAAAAUUGGCAGUCGCUGCGAUCGCCAGAUGUUUACAAGGAUUCAAAAGGUUUAUGACACGCUUCCUGAGGAUUUUGCUUUUCCUCUGUUUUACUUACUGUACAUAAAAUCCAUCUGAUGGAUAAAGCUUAUCAGUCCACCGGCAGUUUCUUUCGCCAAGGUUAGGUGUAAUAAUCAAGUGUUUUAAAUAGCAAUCUCAAGUAUCUUGAACUUAACAAGAGAAACAUUGUCGAUUCUUCUAUCAUUUCUUCCAUUCAAUCGAUUUAGAGUCUCAAGUUGCAGAGGCUUCUUCCACGAAACCAUGCUCAUCUCAUGGAAUAAGCAUGGAUAAUCUCAGCCCACUUCAAUUGUUGAGAGGAAUUCUUUCCAAUAUUCAUGAUGCUCAUCUACACUUCCUGCUUGGCAUUGCAGAAUCAUUUCAGCCUGUGAGGCAACCGUGGGACAGAUUUAAUCCAGGAACACGACGGUCGGUGGAGUAAUAUGCUCUCCUAAAAGGUGGAAAGAACAGCUAAGAACAAGAAAUUUUUUCGUAUUAAAUAUUCCUAGUUCGGUUGGAGUUUUUUUUUAUCCUAGAACUGAAAAGAUGGAGAAAAAGGAAUUGCACUCUCCAAAACAAAGCCUACAAUGGACUUGGGGAAUAAUUAGAAUUGAUUUCGAGAAAGACUGUAAUAAAAAGUGUUCAAGAGAAAAUUAUCAUCCUUUUAAUUUAAAUGUAUAUCAUAUGUUUCUUAAUCUACAAUCUAUAUGAGGAAGUCCGCUUCAUCCUCCAAGCACCUAACAUUGUUGGUGCUGGUUUUGUUCCUCGGAGCCGGAGGAAGGGCAGGGUGCUUUUGGACAGGACACUAAAUGAACCCAACAAAUCAUCAUAUUCUGCUUAGAAUUGCGAUGGCUUUGCUGCUGUUUAAGGCUCUCAAGGAUCACACACAGCUACAGAAAAAUGGCUUUUGACGAUUUCCGAAGGUGAUUUAUUUCCUCCACUUGUUAACCCUGCAUCCUGAUGAUUCCCUGUGCUUAUUGCAAGGAGGCCUUGCGAGUGUCCGAGUCAUUCUGGGUGCAAUCUCACCAUCAAAUCAUCACUUUAUGCUUAAGCUGAAGUCCUCAGGUUAAGCUGAUCAUCAUCAGGAUAGAGCUCAAGGUUGGCUGACAUGGGACGCCCAAAAUGAUGAACCUGAAUGGACUGACUAGUAAAUCCCAUCGUAUUUGUUACAUCUUUUCAGAAAUCAACAGUCAUGAUAUUCCCGAGCACAAAAAGGCUGAUAUAAUAUUUAAUUUAUCACGAUGCGUGGAUUAACGUACAGGAAGAACCAGAAAUAAGAUAUUUCAUCCCUGAGAUCUUUCCAAUAAAUUAAAGCUUAAACAGUACACUGAAACAAAAUUCCAUAUGAUACGACUACAACCAGAGAACAGAUUUUUUUUUUUUUGCGAGCUGAUAAUAAAGUCAUUGAGAUCAAGAGAACUUAAUGCUCAGCCUUUACUUUGACAUCCCCAUUAGGUAAAGUACUCUGUGACUGAGCCAGCCGUUUUGAUUCCUGCAUGAUAACAGGAAAAUGUUUAAAUAGACAAGCUGCAACAUGAUGCAAAUGAAGCAUGAAUAACACAAGACUCAACACGGCAAGUAGAAGGUGGCAACGGUGUCAUCAUACUGUAUUUAAUUGAGACAAUAUAUUCAAAUGAUCACAUACCUUUUGUUGGUACUCUCCAAACAUAAAGGCGAACAAUUUUAUUAGGAUGCCAUUGAACAAAUUUGUAUUCCAUUUUACAAUGUUAAGGUGAUGCAAGUAAUGGUCAUGCAAGCUCAGAACUUAUUUCCUUAGACAGCACAGUUGCGACAAAUAUGCUGAAUGAGAAGCAGAAAAAACAGGCUUCCUAUUUCGCCAAAGGCUUGACAGUACAGGCAAAAUUGCAGACAGACCUCUUACAGGCCAAUGAAAAAGAUAGGAACUCUUUUUGGCUUUUAUGUUAAUGUUUACCACAAAACAAAAACUAAAGGAGCACAACUUGGUACUCUGCUAAAAAAUGUGGCCCUGUUCAUAAAAAAGAGUAAUGUAUUUGUGGUUGACUGAAGUGAAGUACCCAAAUUGUAUAAAAUACUUGGCACAUAUAACUAGUCAGCAGCGAAACCGCUCCCAAGGUAUAGUUACCCAACCUAACAUUGUCCGACAUGAAGGAGGCUGAAAAUUUAACUUACUGCAGCAGAAGAUGUGCGUAUCUCCCUAUAAUUUUCCACUUCAUCAGGAAAGGCUUGUUCGAGCUCCUCCAAAAGGUACUUCCGCAAGCUCUAUACAAGCAGACGAAAGAAGAUAACCAUGGUCUGAACAUGUUAUAGGAUGGCAAGCAAAAUUGUGAAACAGCAUAACUAAAAAUUUAUAUUAUAUAUAACUAAAAAUUUAUAUAAUAAUAAUAAUAAGCAUAAUGAAUUUGUUAUGAGAUAUAAAUCUGCUCCACAUGGAUGGGACCUAUAUGGCCCAAAUAAUCUAAUCACCAACAAUUACAUCAAUUCACAUAAUUACAAGACCAAAUGGCACUUCAUAAUUUAAGUUGGACUUUGAAAGAUGAGAACUACAUCGGUGAUGAGGUUGAAGUUAUGAAGGGCAAGAAAGUCAAAGUUGAUUGUUGAAUAUUAUGUCCAAGUUGACUGUUGAACGACAGAAUUCACUAAAGUAUCAUCUUAAAGAUAACAAAUGCUGCAUGCAGCUGAAAGAUCUUUAGAUUGGUACAAACAAGCUGGCACUGAUCGAGUCCCAACUCUAUUAGAGCCCAACUUUUCUUUGUCAGAACCAUCCCAAAAGCUUUGGGAUCUAGUGAUCACCUUGGGUUGCACAAAAAGCCAAGUACUGGUUGACAAUAAUGAAAUGAAUUCAUGACACCUUAGACUAGGUGAGUAGUGUCCUAGCACCACGAGCAAGCAGCACUGGUUUAGAACAGCAAGUUUGAGAAAGUGUACUAGAAGGCUCCUUAAGCUUACUCCAUAUUAAAUUAUCGAUUUUCAUUCUAGGAAUCUGCAUAAAAAAUUUAUAGAAAUGUGGAUCCUUAAGGACAUAAGGGACUUUUGCUAAUUGCAAGAUUUCUUAAAAUAGACAACCACAGAAUCUCAUCUUUCGUAAAACACAUUUCAUGACUAUUUUUCCUAAAACUCAUAUUUUCAAGUUUUAUGACCUGCGGGCCUUAAUUCAAUGGUAAGCUUGCUCCAUGGUACCAAGAUGUCACAGGUUUGAAAACAUAAAAACAAACUCUCUGCAUGCAAGGAUAAGACUGCCCACAUCUAGUUUUCUCUAGACCUUGCAGUGGUGGGAACCUCAUGCACUGGAACACCCUUUUAGAUAACUUAUGUUAUACGCUACAUGUGAUUCUCAGAUGUGGUUCAAAUGUUGCAGCAUCUUUAUUUGCAUAUAUGUCAUUUUUACUGAAGUUUUGUAGCAAUCCAGUAAGCCAUUACCAUUGAUGUUGGCAUGGCUUGCAAAAAUAGGGGAUAUUGCCUUUGAUAGAUAUAAAAUGCGAAAAAGGAUUUAUUCACCAAGGAAGGUUCAUAUUUGUUCAGUCAAUCCAUAAAGUACCACCAUUAAACUAAAUAAGAAAGAAAAUAGCAAAGAUCAUCAAUGAUUUCAAACAAUAUAGAGCCAAUUCAAACGACCCCAGAGGCAAUGCUGUAUUAGAAAUUCAUUGUCAGGAAUGCCUUCUAGUUACUCGUACAAACUAUACAACAAGAUCUUCCAACAAACACUUAAAAAACUGUUAUGCCCUAGUUUUUCCAAAUGGGGAAUACCUUAAAAGCAUCCGUUUUUCCUUUGGUGAUCUGGUUCUUGGCAAUACAACUAUUCAGGACAUCCCUGGUAAACUCGUCCGGGUUCUUCCCAUCAUCAAUCAAGCUGAAAUCCAACAAACUUAUCAGCAACAAGAACGAAUUUUCAAGAACGGGAGCCAAUCCAAAGGGCAAGAUUAAGAGCCUCACUUCACCACCUCCGCUGGGACCUGGAUGUCGCAGUUCUCCGCCAGCUUCUGCAUCGUGUCGAGUUCAGCAACAAGCGCGUUUCUUUGUUCACAACCAAAGAGAACAAAAAACCCUAGAAUUAGAGAGAUGGGGAGGAUGGCCGAGAAGAGAGUGGAGAAUAGGACGAUGGAAGGGGUGGGGGGAUUACAGGCGCUGGAGAAGGGGGAGUUGGGAGGCGACGCUGAAGGAGGAGACGGUGAGGUAGAGCUGGUGGAGGAGGCCGAGGGUCUUGUCGAUGGAGUUGAUGACCUGUUUGAGAUUCUUGGAGCGGUCGUCCGCCGGGCCGGCGGCGGAGGCCCCGUCGCCGCCACUGACGUGGGCAUUGGCAGUGGGGGCUAGGGCGUUGGCGGCCGUCGCGGCGGCUCCUGCGGCGGCGGAGAGGCCACCGUUGCCAGCGGUGGAGGAGGGGUUCGGCGAGGGAUCCAUUCCGGUUAGCGUAUCGCGAGUCUGCGCGAAAAUAUUAUGCAUCAUCGAAUCCGGUAAUUCCUAAAUGGAUUGGGUACGGAGCAGUCAUAGUCCGACCCGGACUAACAUUUAUCGGAUCGGGUCGUUAUUGGAUUCUUCAGCAAGAUCACUAAGUUGGAACCAAUUAAAAUUAGCUCCGGCUCAAUAUUUGAUUUAUUAAAGACAUAUUAAACUUCUACCUACCUAAAAAAGGCAUAUUAAGCUUUGCCUCCUUUUGAUUUUAACAAUAUUUUAGUUUUGCAUAAAAUUAUAAUUUUUUUCUUGGAAUUUCCUAAAAACAUCCAAAAUAAAUUACUGCAAUUUAGUUAUAAUCAAGCAGCAUCAAUUUAAUUUGCAAUCAUUUAUAAUACCAAUGAGUUUGCUUAGAAAAAUAGUAUAGAUUUGCAUGAAAGUAGGCUCCUAUAAUAUUGGCCAACGAUAUCUAAUAUAUCGGUAGGGUAGGUAAAAGCCAACAUUCUUUUUAUCCUGCUUUUGCUAUCUUAGGUGAAUGUUUUAAUUGUACAGUAUGGAGAUUGAUGGCUUAAAUGGAGGUUCAAUGGUAGUUGGCAUUAAUUUUAUUGUACUUGCCUUAAUUAAAUAUCUUAGUUGUUAUUAGUUUUAUUUAGAUCCUCUCAAAAUUUGCACAUAUCAAGGUUUCGGUAACGCUGGUAUCUCCAUACAGCAAACCACCUCCAUUAUCAGGAAUUAUCAUUACAAUAAAAAACUGUUUUGUUAUUUUCCAAAUCAAUCUUUUAUUGGAUUUAUUUGGGAAUGAAGUAACAUUUAUUAUAGGUAAGUACUUGCCUCUAAAGUUGGAGAACAUGGAAACAGCUCGAGAACAUGGAAACAAGAAUAGGUAAGUGAGAGUAUUGGGAUAAAGGUGGGAUUUGCUAGAUUUAAUUAAACUAAGGCUUGUCCCAAGGACCAUACUCUUCUGCUUUAGCAACCGGAGUUUCUGAGUCGAAUUUUGAAUGGUCUCCCUUCUUUCUCUCAAAAAUACUAGGGAUGGAAAGGCAAUGAAAGUAGCCCUCUAGAAACAACAUAAAUUGGGAUGGAAUUGAGAAAAGAUGAAUUAUGAAUGUGAGCUAUGACAGAUAUCUUAGAAAAAAAUUUAGCAACAACAGCAAAUAGCACAUGCCCCAGAGAAACUGUUACCAAAACUAGCUAGUACAGUAUUUUUAUUAAGAAAAUACGAAACCAGCACAGUUGUAUGUAUGAAGAGCCUCUUUGGUCACCCCAACACCUCUCAUGUGGUAUAGGAUCUACCAUGUUGUGGGAUGGGAUGGUCAUCCAGGCGAGGCAUGUGUUUAGGAAGACAAAUGGGACUGCUGAUUGGGUGGCUUUUUUUAUCGCCAACCAUUCAGAUGAUCACCUAUAGGUGGGAGAGGUACAGUUGCCUAGUGCUCUCCGUAAUGUACCGUUUUUUGUUUUUUUUAGCUGUAUCCGUACACGUUAUGCAUGAUACUUUCAUUUUAGCAAAAAAUAAAAAAAAAUAAAGAUGGAAGGUGUUGAAAGAGGAAUUGAAGCAGGCAGUCGAUCACCUGGACCCAAGAUUCCCAAAUAGAUGACCUCCAACAUCCCCAAACCUUUGGUUGCAAAGUUCCUGUUGGAUUUAUGGGCAUUCGCAUAUGAUUUCUAGCUCAAUUUAUUGGUUUAAAGUAGUUACUACUUACCGCUUAAGACGCUACCAGUUGUUAUAACAGUUUCAGAAGCACAGCCUUCGACCCUGAAUGCGAUUACAUGGUGAAAACCAUGCUUCAUGAUUGUCCAUGAAAGAUGCUCAUUGUUAUCUUAUUCUAAAUUGAUUUAUAACAUAAUAUGCAGACAAAUCGUUUUCAGAUGGAUGUAUCAGAUUAUCAGUUCAGAUAUGAUUAUAUUCAACACCAACCAAGUAACUCAUUGGAAUCCAGUUUCAGUCAGGUGAUAACUUGCCUCCAUUGCACUCAGUUGAAUUACAUGUUUACGAUUUUGAUGAAUCUUUGUUCUUCAAUCAAAAGAGGGAACAGUAAGAGAAAAAACUAGCAUAUCCUUGUCCAUAGAACAAGACUGAAUAUUAAUUCCUUAUUUAGUCAAACAUACAAGGAAUACAAACUAGAAGAUUGCAGCUUGUGCCAUUCCAUAUUCCAUAAAUUUACACUAGUAAUUUCUCACAAUAUCCAAGACCCUCCCUCCCAUGAGAUUCAAAAGAGAAGAUAAAUAAAAGGAUAACAUGCCCAGGAGCACUUAGAAAACCGAAACAAUCAGAACACUCUAGGCUUGGCGACUAUGGUAGAGUGCUUCAAAAUGUGCAGGCUAAACUGCCCACCUUUCUCAGCAGUAUCGAGUUGCUUUUGUCCUGGAGGUGGCAACAGCUCGAAGUUCUGGACCAAGCGGCCAAUGGUGAUCCCCAGAAUCGGCAAUGCGAGGAUAAUUCCUGGGCAGCUCCUUCGGCCAACCCCAAAUGGCAAGUAGCGGAAGUCAUUGCCAUUGGCCUCCACCUUGGCCUCCUCCUGCAAGAAUCUCUCAGGCCGGAACUCCUCAGGUUUCUUCCAGUGGUCAGGGUUGUUUGCAAGCAACCAGGCGUUCACAAGGAUCUUGCUCUCAGCAGGGAUAUCAUAGCCACCAAGCUUGGCAUCAUGGAGAUUCAUGUGGGGGACCAGUAGGGGGAUCGCCAUGCGAAGGCGGAGUGUCUCCUUGAUGACAGCUUGAAGGUAGGGGAGCUUGUGGGUGUCGGGCUCGGUAACCUGGACACCAGGACCAAGCACGGUGUCAAGCUCCUUGCAGAGCUUCUGUUGGAUCUCCGGAUGGUUCACAAGUUCUGCAAUGGCCCACUCAAUUGACCACAAUGUCGUCUCAAUCGCUGCACCAGCAAUGCAAAAGAAGCAUCAGUAUUGAGCAAGAAUGGCAUAACCCAUUCAGUCCUGGAUUCAAGUCAAGGAACUCAUUGAUGCCAUGUGACAUCGUUGGUGGUGUGGUAUAUUUUUAGAUGAUAACCCAAAGACAAUCUCAUAAUGAAGGAGCAUUGGAGCAAAUACAAAUGUACAUUUACUAAAAAGAUAUCAGCAGUGAACUUUGAUUUCGUCGUGUGAUAUUUCCACAAGGUAGGAAAAUAGAGUGGGUAUGUAAAAGGUGAUAAAAUUUAUACCAAGCAUUUUCAAAUUGUGGUGCCAACCAACUGGCACAAUCCCUUCCAUUACUUCCUCUCCCCACCUUUACUCCACUUGGACCCUACCACCAUGUCAAGGAUGUCCCACAGAAAGGGCAACCAGACAUCCAAACAACCUCUAAGCCACAAAUGGUCCCAAGGCAAAUGAAUCCCAACUGAGAUAAGUCAGCUCAUAUUAUCAAACAACAUAUGCAUGCACUGUUUAGCCUCUGAAGACAAAGGAAGGCAUAAAACAAUCCUCUUGAGAGAGAAAAAAAAAAGAAUCUAUUGGAUCUACCUUACCAAAUGUUCCAACUAUGAAACCAUGAUGUGGUCCUCCAAGACAACCUAAGUCAUCUAUCUACACCUCAAACUUUUCUUUUUUCUUCUUGUUUUUUCUUUACCUCCCAUUCUGAUAUUCAUUCAAGAAUUUAGGUAAGUUGGCUAUUUCUGCUAAUUUUCUAACUAAUAUCCUUAUCUCUAAACUCGUUUGGUUCAUGGAAAAAAUUUUACCUUACUGGAAUGUUUUUCCUAGGAAACGGAUGCCUAAGUAUAUGAUGCUUGGAAAGUUGUUUUUGCAUAUUUUGUUGAUUAAAGAAAAGUGAUAUAGGAAACAUAUUUUCCAAAGUAACUUAUGUUUAGUUGAGCAUCUACUUUUCUGAAAAAGUUAUGUAAAAUAUCUAUUAUGCCUUUAAUAAAAGAACUACAAGAAAAAAAAUAUCACAUGCAUAAUUUUUAUAAUCAAAUACUUGGAAUACCAAGGUUUGGAGGUUUUAAAAGUUUCACACCAAAAAGAUCAGAUUAUAUUUUUAAGAACUAUUUUUAAAUAUUAAAAUUACCAUAAUUCAUAUUAUAUUUGGAUACUUGUCUAACUAUUAAAAUUACCACAAUUCAUAAUAUAUUUUUAAUAGUAUAUUUAAAUAUUCUUAAAUAUAAAAUAUUUAAAAUUAUUUUUAAAUAUUUAAAAAUAGCUACUAAAAAUAUUUAUUGGGUUGAGUUUUUAGUUAAUUGCUAGACAACUUCUUUAUAUUAUGAUAAUUUUAAAUAGUUAUCAAUAUAUUUUUAUAUUAAAAUUAUCACAACUUCUUUAUAUUGUGGUAAAUUUUAAUAGUAUAUUUUUAAUAGUUUAAUGUUAACUAUUAAAAAUUACUGUUAGGAAGAUCAUGAUGGCUUAAGGAUAUUUUUUUUAAAAAAAAAUACCGCAAUUCCUAUCCCGUGGGAAAGUGGUUUUUUAUGUCCCGCAUGGGUUUUUCUUUUCGAUGAAAUGUAGAAAACUUAUUUCGAUGGGAAUGCUAUUUUUCCACCUCUCUCCUUUGUAAACUCCAACCAAACAUAAAGUGUUUUUUCAUUUUUUCCGUUGACCACACUUUCCCUUCCUCUCUUCCCGCAAACCAAACGAGUGUUCAGAGGACCUAAAAGAGAAGGAGAAGAUCCAAGGACAAAAAGUUGUGAAAAGGAAUAUAACAAAGCUUGAAAUAACACUAGAGAUGUCCUCGACAACGUUUGCCGUCUCGGUACCGGACCCCAUAGCGGUAACUCACUAACAUAAUGUCGGAAUGGUACGAUACGGAGUUUUUUUAGCAUAUCGAGUAUUAAUACGCCACCCGUACGGCAUACCAUGGUCCUCAAUAUAAAUUCUUGUAAGGUUAUUAGACCAACCACAAUUAACCGGAACAGAUCUUGGUAGUUGUUGCUAUACUUAUGGUUACCGAUUUCAGCAAGCAAUAAAUAUCUUCGUAUCUGUAUAGGUACGACUGCUCGAAGCAUUAGCUAACUAACGUGCAGAAUUACAAUUUCAAAAAAUGAAAAUAAUUAAAUAAUGCCCUUCCAAAGAGAAAGGAAAGUAGGAAAAAUACCUGCUACAUUAAUGUUCUCAACGAUGUAAAGCACAUUGUCCUCAUUGAUCUCUCCCUUCUUCUCAGCAUCAAGGAUGUGAUCAAUUGCACACUUGAGCUCUGCGUUAUCUGCCGGUUUGGUGCUUGACAGCUUCCUGUUCCAUCAAAUAGAAAGCACUGAAUCAAUCGAUCGAUCAUAUAUUCAGAUUUCAGACAACAGAAGAUUGCCAUCAACGAACGGAAACCUAUUAGAAUAGAUGCAAUAGAAUAUUAUUAUAUUAAAAAAGAGAUAGGAAACCUUUUAGAAUAGCCACACGAGAACAUUAUUAAAUUAAAGGAGGACCAAUUCCAAAACAAAUAUCAGCAUAAGCGUAUGGAUUAGAAAAAAGAAGACCAAAAGGAACGGAAGAGGAAAAAAUAAAUAAAUAAAUAAACCCCUGUAUUUGAUAUCCACACCUUCUCCCUUUUUUAUUUUUUGUUUUUGGUAAUCCUAUUACACUUUCCUUGGCCUGCUCUUUUUAUAAAACAGUUUCUGGACCAAAUUGCAUAGCAUCCAAGCAUAACCGAAAAAGGGAGCUCUUAUAUGUUAAUCCACUAAAAUCCAGGCCUAAAAAAGGAUAAACAGAAAAGACACAAUCCUACCACAAAAGAAUAGAUUAAAAGGACUAAAACAGAACAAAUCCUAAUAGAAGCCAGACCAAAAGUAGAAACAAAUACACAAUCAGAAAAAGGGAAUUUAAAAACAGAAAAAACAUAAUCCAAACUUCAAAUCAAUCACUAUAGUAGAAGACCAGAAUUCUAUAUGUAAAAGAAAAUAUAAACACUAGAAAUAAUAAGGAAAAAAAUAGUAGUAUUAUAUAUACUCACUUCCUCUCCUCAAGGAAGUAGUCCUUGAAGAGCUGCAGCCUUCUCUCUUUGACCUCCUUGCAGAUCUUGAGGUAUCCCCUCAAGAAAGGUCUCAAGAUGGGGAUAAAAUCCCCAUAAUUGUACUCAAAACUCUGCGCCAACCUGCUCCUCUCCCCAUUCAGCGCCCUGAGCCGCAAGAACAGAGGAUCCUCCUCGCUCUCGAACCUCCGGUCGAACAUGAUCCGGUACAUGUUGUUAUACAUCAUCAGCUGCAGCCUCCUUCGGAGCACGAUCCCCUCCGUCGCCGCCUUCGGGUCUGCUUUCACAUCGGCGACAACCCUCGCCGCCUCGUCCUCCCACCCGGUGCGGUACUGCUGGACUACUUUGUUGGUGAAGAAGGGGACGGUCAUGAUGCGGCGCAUCUUGCGCCAGUGCUCGCCGUAGACGGUGAAGACCAUGUCCUGGCCUUUGCCGGUGAAGAUGUCGAAGACAACGUUGCGGGUGCGGGAGCCGAACUCGACGCCCUGCGUGUGGAGGACCUCGCGGGCAAGGGACGGGGAGGAGACGACGACGAGGUUGCGCUGGCCCAUGCGGAGGAGGAGGAUGUCGCCGAAGCGGCGGGCGAGGGCGGAGAGGUUGCGGUGGUUGAGGUCGUCGCCGACCUGCAGCCAGUUGCCGAAGACGGGGACGGGGAGCGGCCCCGGGGGGAGACGGAGGCGCUUUCCCCGGAGCUUCGAGACGGCGAUUGCGACGACGACGGACGCGAAGAGGCCCAGGAGGGCCUUCUCUAGCAGCGCCAGAUCCAUCGCCAAAGAAUGAGGAGAAGAGUGGAGUAGGUUUGGUUUGUGAGCGAAUUGGGGUGGGAGUUGGGGGAGGAUAUAAGGCGGGGUUGGGUUGACGGGAGCCGUUAGAUUUGACGGAUGUUGGGGUGGCGGGAGAGGGGGUAGGUUGGGACGGUAAGAUGUGCGCGCGUGCUGUGGAAGAACGGGUGCGCGCUCAAAUCAUUGGAGACAAGACUGCGGCAUAAGGUGGAUCGGCAUAUGGCUAGCCGAAUAUAGUACAGGGAAAAAAAGAAGAAAAGUUUGAGAACUGGCGUGUUGCGGCUGUUAUUUGGCAUGUGCAAUGAACGUGAUGCAAUCUAAGAAAAGCAUUUGAUGGAUGGUCAUGAUUUUUGCCAACCGUAUAAUUCGUAUGUGGAACUGCGGUGUAUGUAUUUGCUUGUGAGGUGAUUGCCAGAUCAGAAUCAAAAGUGGUUAAUAGAAAAAAGGGGAUGAAGAUACUUGUAGUUUAUGUCCUUGGCUUAGCUAGUCAUUUUACUUUUAUAUAUUUUAUUUUGAUUAUAGUUUGAUAAUUUAGCAUGGUUAUAUAAAAGAAAAAAAAUAUGUUACUAAGAGCAAGCCCCCUAUUGAUGUAUCUUACCAAAGUUUUUAACAGCAGAAUAGGAAAAGCAAGGGCUGAAAUGGAGGUUAGUGGUAAUUAAUCUUGGUUUUAGUAUAUGGGUGACAUCUUUGUAUCUUGUUUCAUGUACAUCACUUGGCAACUUGGGUCAUCUGAUUUUUUUUACAAGGUUUUUUCUAAUGUUUCAACUCAACCAAGAUUAAAUCAAAAUAAUGAACCACCCUCCACUGUCAUAAUUGAUAUGGUGUCAUUACUUGUAAUUAUUGAUUGCUUGCUAUAUUUAUUUUGUGAAUAAAAUGGUACCUUUGUAGUCAGCAAGAAAAGGUAACUUCCAUUCAAAUAAUUGUUAUAUUAAUGAGUUUCAGUACUUAAUACAGAAUUAGGAAAUUGAAAGUGUUGGAGAUAGAAGGCAAAACUCAAUAGAUAUGACUCAAUAUGAGAGGAUGACCAGACUCCAGAGUGACAUUAAUAGCACCUGCCCCCAGAGCUGGAUCAUUGACCUAGCAUAUGCAGUGGGCGUGUCCUGUGAGAGUACAAAUCUUGAGUGAAGGAACAAAACAAUUAGAGGAAUUAGAGUAGGUAUUGACAAUCCUAUUAUAAGGAAGUCAAUUAAAUUGGUGACUUUGGACAUCCCAAAAUCUAGAGAUUUUCUUAUCUAUAGGCUCCUCUAAUACCUUCCACUCCUAUUCUGUAUCAUCUUUUUAUUUCUUCCAACUAUGCAGGAGAUAUCAGAAGAACAAGACAUGAAGUUGCCUCAACUACCACUCAAAUAUAAAAGAUAUGGAUGGCAAUGGAUGACUGUUACCACCGUAUAAAAGGAGAGAAUAGCAUUUGAUAUGGGGGGCGUAUUUAUUAGGAUUUUCUGAUUAGAUUAGCAAUCUUUUAUAAUCUUAUGUCCCAUGCCAAAAUCAUCAUACAUUAAAAAAAAAGAAAAAAAGGAGGAAAAAAAAAGAAGUCGAGCUGCCGAUAAGUUUUAUAAAAUAGGGUUAUUCUUAUCUUGGUCACUUGUGCAAAAUUACAACAAAAGGAUGUGUUUUUAUUCAUACAAUAUGCUACAUAUUUAUAUUUUAUUUUUGAAAUCUCGCAUAGCUUCCGUAUAUUGUUGCAAUGGUAUUAGUGUGAUUGUUAUAAUAAGGAUGCAUUUAUACACAAUAUUUUAAAUUCAAAAGACAUUGUUCAAUAACAAGUAAUGCUAGUUUUUAGAAAUAUAUAUAACGGCUCGCUGCGAUAUUAAUUAUAAGAGUUGCCAUCCAAAUCUAUUGUAUAAUAACAAUGUUGACAUCCAUGUACUUGUUACUUAUAACUUGCUAAAAAUAUGGUCACGAGGAUCAUGUGAUCCAGGAGGAUCAUCUCCUUUACGAUCAGAUCAUCAUGACAUGAAUGUAUGGUACCAAUCCAUGUCAUGAUCAAGGUAGGCAAGGGUGGGAUUAUUUUCUGAAAAAAAAUAAUUAUUGUAUAACUCUUUCAAAUCUCCAUGCAGGAUAGAAAGUAGGCAAAUCUCAGUGGUAUCUCUCUCUAUUUUUUUAAUAAAAUUUGUAUUUUUAUAAUAAACAAUAAAAUAAUCACAACCAUUCACAAUGCUUUUCAUGCGUCAAAAUCUAGUGACUUGUUAACUAAAUUUAAUGGUUAUGAUAUCUAGCAUGGGAUUUAUAAAAAUCUAAUUAGAAAAUCAUCCAAUAAUGGAUGGUCAGGGCCCACCAAAAGUCUGAGAUGCAUGGAGAAUAGUAGCCGUCGGUGGAGGAGCACCGAGCAACCGACCCGUCCUAACUUUCAUGAUGGCGACGCUGGUGGUUCCGUGGUUGGCAAGUGGAAGAGAAACCGGAGCGAUUGGGAGACAAGUGGAGGCUAAAAUCGGUCCACGUUAAGGCUUUCUUUAGAUAUUAGAAGUGAAGAAACCCAUAUUUUUGUACCAAACUUAUCCCGUCACCGUGCUCACGGAGCCAGACAAUCCGAGCACUCGAUGGUCAACCUUGCACCCUCUUAGCUCACGCUUUUUGGGCUUGGAAGUAGGUGCAUCAAGCAACCUAAUGCUAUAGCAACAAACAAAUUAUAGUACUGUUGAGGCCGACAUUUGCUGGAUAUAUUUAGCUUAUUCUAUUUGAUUGGACAGAAAUGCUGGCCUCUUUGAGGGCAGGCGAUUACUCUCACGGAGGAUGGUGGACAGAGCCAUGCUUUAUGCUAGGAAGGUUGCUACAGCUGCCAUUAGUUUCUCUUCUGAGAUGGCCAGGGCCACUUGGGAUACUCUUUCAGCUGUCACAGCGCCUAGAUUCGCCCUAGUUUCUUGGGUACCCCCACCCCUUAGUCAUCUCAAAGUGAAUUUUGAUGGUAGUAUGUCGGUGGACGGGGUGUCAGGAGGAGCUGGCUUUGUCAUCAGAGACCAUCUAAGUAGGCUGAUAGCUGGUGGUGGGCGCCGUACGCCGGGACUUACCGCAGUUGGGGCAGAGUUGCGGGCAGCCUGAGAGGGUAUAGCCUAUGCGAGGCGGGUACUCCAUGCUGAGCAUAUAUGUCUUGAAGGAGAUUCCUCUGCGGUGAUCGAUUGGAUUCGAGGAGUGGACAGAUAUGGUGAUGGUCAUCCCCUCAUUCGUAAGAUUCAGCGAUUGGCUCAGGAGCUGAGCGAUUUCCAGGCUUCACAUGUUUUUCGAGAGGCGAACAGUGUGGCAGACUGGGUUGCUUCAUUUGUUGCCCGGCAUUCCGGAGAGAUCAUACGGACAUCUGUAGGAGAUAUUCCUCCCACCUUUUACUCUUUGCUUUUCUUUGAUAUGGCUGAAUGUACUCAAGUUAGAGCUAUAUGAAAUGCCGUUUCUAUCAAAAAAAAUAAAUUAUAGCUUUAGAAAAAAUAAUAAAUAUAUAUAUACACACACAUAUACAUAUGUAUGUCUAUAUAUUAUAUAAAUUUUUGUUAUAGUAAAUUUUUAUAGGACUUUUUGCAUAAAUACCUCCCAAUAGAUACCUUUCCAAAAAUAAUAUUUACAUGUAUACCUUACAAAAUACUUAUUUUACUAUUUUAUAUUUUUUUAUUUUUAUUUUUACAUUUAUACCCACACCAUCUAACAUAGUUAAAAAGUUAAUAGUUUCAAAUUAAAAUAACUAAAAUAUUUCUAAUGGGUAGAUGUUCAAUAAAAAACUUUUAUAAAGUGAUUGCGAUGGAGAAUAAAAAAGUAAUUUUAAAAUUAUAUUUUAUUUUUAAUUAAAAUAAAUAUGGUUUUUAUUAAUGGUGUUAGAAGAACUGUUAUAUUAGUGGCAUUUGUGUAAAAAUAGUAUUUUAUGAGAAUACAGUAAUAAAUAUAAAUUUAAGAGAGUAUUCAUGCAAGUUUGAGUUUUUAAAAAGAUAUUUUCACGCGCGCGCAAACGAGCACCGGCCGCAACAGCAAGGAACUUGCAAAAAAAAAAAUCAUUUUUAUAUUAUUUUUUAGAAAAGCUGGAGCUAUGUUGACCAUUCCUUUUGUGUAUUAAGAGAUUUUUUUUUUUUCUGAAGAGGUUAGCAACAAAUUAGAUAUACAUUGACAUCCUUUUUUAUUUUUAUUAUUUUUUCCGAUAGAGGUGAUUAUUUUAUUACUUUUCUGAAUGGGGCCAAGGUCAAGCCGCCUCCACCGCUCCUCAGCAUCCUUUGCGGCGACACCGGCAUCCCUACCGCCGUGCACGUCCUCCUCCUCCUCCUCCUUCGUGACGACACCCAUAUAUAUCACCGCCGUCAUGGACGGGACUUGAGAGCAGCCUUCCUCCUCCUCCGCUUCGCCUCAACCGACGCUGCAGGUGACCUCGCCGCCCAUGGCGGCGACAACCCAGCCCUCCUCGAGAUCCACAUCUCCACUAGGGGUGGAGUAGGACGUGGCCUGGCCAGCUCUCUACGAGAUCCGCAUCUCCAUCAAGGAUAGCGACGACCGAUCCCUCCCCAAAGGUGUUGCUGCAACGACAACGGUGGCGAACGAGGUGGCCCCAUGGGCCCGACGGUGGACGGUGGCCGACCAGCAUGGAGGAUCAUGUUGAUGGACGUCCCCAUGAGGAGGGCACUAAGGAUGAUCAUGGUGAGGCUUGAACGAGGCCUAACACCUUGACGGCGACAAUGAGGGAUAUGAUCUCCGCACCCAUGAAGGCGAUGGAGAGGUCCUCCGCCUCCAAUGCCCCAUUGCUAUCUUUGCCUUCACCCACUAAAGUAGCCUUCAUUAAAAGAAAAAAAAACUUGGAAUUUCUUGGUGCCACCUACCAUGGCCUCAAAUUUAAACUAUAUAUCACGUGUUCUGCAAGAGACGUAUGUUGUUUGAACGAAGGUAGAUGAGUUCCGUUUCUCCCUUGCCAACUUUAUUAGUAUCGGAUUGGUGCCUCUCUUUCUUACCAAAACAAAUACCAAACAAGAAAAGGGAAAGGGUCUCAAGUGGACCCUAAUUGGACUCCUUUCCUUCCGUCCCUCGCCAACUCACCUCUUCUUACCAAAAACUACCAAACAAUGAAAAGGAAAGGGUCAAGGGGACCCUAAUUGAAGUAUUAAUUUAGAGCAAAGCUGCAGAUUUCUCCCACAUCAUCAUUACGAGUGUUUGUUACCCUAAUCCAGCUUUUUAAUAGAAAUAUUAAGUUAUGUUUGACCAUAAAAAGUUGGACUCUGAAAUGAAAAUAAAAAUAAAUGACUUUUAUUCUAGCCGUUUGGUUGGAGAAGAUCCCAUUUUUAUUUCAAUUUCAGAGAAAAAUAGGAAUGCCCCAAUCCUUCAAAAUUUAAUAUCUACUUUUUUUCUAACAUUCAAAUUUCAUUUCGAUUACGGUCAUAAACCAAAUACAUCGGAAGAUAUGACCAUUUCGAUUUUAAUUUCAAUCUAUUCUGAUCCUACCUACGAACCAAACAUGCUCCUAAACUAUUACACGAUUAUUAUGGAUUCUGAAAACCAAUGGAAAGGAGAUAUUUGAGAAUCGCCGUCAAUACCUCGGCGUAGAUCCAGAAUAAUCUCUUGUACAUAGCUAAUUAAGAAUUCUUAGAUUAGAUGAUGUACUAUAAGUGCAUCUUUGAUGCAGCUAUUGAUUCUUCAGAUGGGCCACAAUUACCACGAGCAAACAUAUUAAUGACGAGGAAUGUAUUUUUGCUAUGCUACUAAUACUUGUACUUACUCUGCUAUUUUGCCCAAGCCUGAUCUUUUGGUGAAAUUUUUUGUGGAAUAUGAUUUAUCCCUAUAAGUUCGAUGAGUUAGAGGUAGAUAUACCAGGGGGUCCCUAUUUAAAAAUAUAUAGCAACCCCAUGGUUUCUCUAAUUAAAAAAAAAAAAUGGACCGUUUCAUCACCUAAUUUCACUGCACUCUUUUUUUUUUUUUGCUCCACCACUGUUUCUAUUUAUUAUAUUUUUUUUAGGAAGAAAAAGGUCCAAUAAAAGUGGAACAGAGGAUACACCUACCACGGCGACGGCGGCAGAGGCCAAGGCGGUUCACCAACUCCCACAUUCACGGGGGUCGCAGCUGGCCGAGUACCAUUCCACCGUGUGAUCCCAUUUCCAUGCGUCAUUAAUUCCGUCAUCUAGCGUCAUACUCGCUUAUGACUUUGCCGUGUUGAGGUUUCAAACAAAAUUCCCACUAGCGGUCCUUAUAUGAAAAAUUAUUUACUAAUCUCAACCAAAAUAAAGUCUGCCUCAUCUUAAUAAACACGUGUUAGAGAUCAUUACUUUAGGUUUUUUUUUUGAGAAACUAAUGUCUGGAUAUGUUAGGCUAAUAAUUUCUUUUUCAUGAAAUAUGGGUUUUUUCAUAAAAAAAUAAUUUUUAAUCUCUUUUUACAAGAUAGAAGAAAAACCACAGAAACCUUUUCAACGAGAGAAACAACAUCUCCAUCACAAAUCCACCUAAUAUUUUAGGACCCUCGACCCGCAACCUGAAGGCGUACACCAGGCAUUACUUUGAAAACAAAUCAAAACAUAAAAACCUAACAAGAGGAGAGAGAGGGACGCAAGAGUCCACAAACAUGAACUUUGAAAGGACUUUGGCGCCAUGAUCUUUUAUCUUCUUCCCUCAAGACAAAGACCCAACCCGGAACCAAAGUCCAAAGAACUCUGCCUCUGUCACCAAGGCCUAAGCAACUCUGUCACUCUUCCUAUGAGACAAAACUGUCCGGGUUGACCAACACAGAAGCCAUAUCAGCUCAAAAACCAUGAACAGAUCUGCAAUCAAAAGAGGACGUGAUCUAUGGUUUAAUUUCAUCAUGGCGAUCUCAAAUCUCGCACACAAUAUCCAGUUGCAGAUCAAAUUAUAUCUAGUUGGCAUCCCUCUGCGAGUAAGCGUCCAAGGGAUACGAGGAGAAGCUCGUGAGGAAGUCAUGGACUAGAAAACAGUAGAUUUGAUGUUCACCUCCACCCCACCCCAAAAAAAAACCAAUAAGAUGCGGGGAUAUCUAGCAAGAGCCUCAUAUGACCUCUAUUAUGAUACCAUAUCAAAAUUUCUACUUGUUCCAAAACCUUAAGUUGAUAGGAUAAGAUAGAUUUAUUUAUAUAUUUUAUAUUUUCUUAUGGUGGACAUCUAUCAAGUUUUGAAGCAUGCGAAGUUUUGAGAGACGAUGCUGUAAUCUUAAACCAAUGAUCAUCAAAGUAUCCUAAGAAAAAAAUGUUGGAUGUUAUUUUUCUGGGUGAAGUUGGGAAAGAAAUUCCAUGGAUUAGUCCACGGACUUAUCAAUCAAGCGUUUGAGGUAUUCAUGGAGUCCAUACAAUAAAAGAAGUGAGAUUUGCAUAAAUAAAAUGCAUUCAUCCUGAAACUUUAAAUUUUUCUAAUUAGAUCUCCAAACGUUUUUCUUCGUCGCAAUAUAAUUGUCACAUGACAAUCUAAUAUAUGCCUUCUAUUCCUGAAAUGCCUUUCUCUCUAAUUUAGAAUUGAGGGUAUGCUAAUCUUUUUUCUCACUUAGUUAAUAGUAUUAAGAUUUUGAUGGAUGGCUAGGUCACUUUGCGACAAAAAAAUAAGUUUUAGUAUCUAAUUGAAAAGAAUUUAAAGUUUUGGAGUGAAUAUAUUUUUUGCACAAAGUUGAAAGGAUGUUGCUCUAAUUUUUUCUAAAAUUUUUAAUUACAUUCAGAUCCUUUAUGUAUCGUGCAAUAAUCAUAAAAAUAUUUGAGUUGUAAUUGCCCAUUAUACCGAUAUGUAUAUUGCGCGACAAUUGAGAUUUAGUCCGAUGAUACAUGGGUAUUCAUGAUUGGACGUCAUAUUAUAUGGGAUCCAUUUUAUAACAAUCAUUAUACUAUAUAUAGUCAUAUAGAUAGCUAUGAUUGGCAAAUUGGGUCUCUCCACUCCAACUAUGAAUAUGAGAAGAUCUCAACUCAAACCAUUUUUGCGGCCAAUUUAGGAGAAAAAAUUCUAAAAAAAUAUCCGCGAGUCUCUCAGUUUUCAUUUAGUUAUUUUUUUGAUCUUUAAAAGUUCCAUCAUCCUAUCAUUUCAUCAAUUAAACGAAAUAGAUGAUGACUUUGAUGUUGGUUUUGGAAAAAUUAGAAAUCCCAUUAAAGCGGCCAAUGCUUUGGAAGAAACAUUGUUUUGAAUUUUCUAAAUAAACGGAUUAAGCAUUGCCACUCUUAUCCAUAAAGAAUUUAAAAUGGCUAUCAAUGUUUAUUUUUUAUUUUAAUAAUUAUCUAAGAGAUGGAUCAAUGAUUACUAAUAUGGCAAGCAUGACAAGAAGUUAUUAUUUGAGACAUAAUAUGACAUGAAAUUAGAACAAGCCAAUUCAAAAUUUUGAACAUCCCAAUGCUGGUUCACUUAGAUGUUUAAUCAUUCACACCUCCUCCUCAUUUUUCAUCGGCUUCCCAUGUUCCCUGCUCUUUGUUUUUACUCCAUUUCUAUGAAUUGUGAUUGAAAUUAAGCUAGAAGCAUUUGGUUUUCGAAAACUUUGUUUGUUUUGUUUUGUUGCUUUGGGGGCUUGCAUGUCCUCGCAGGUCCUUCACGCUGACAUCGUGCAAAGAAAACAAAAUCAACCUGAUCUCCCCUAACGCGAUAUCUCAGCCACCCGUCAAGCACUGCCCCACUGUAUGGUAACAUCCCAGCCGUCCAUUAGAAGCUCUCAUCAUCUCAUAGCACGCAGAGUGAUGUACCAAGAUUCUCGUCAAUAUAUCCAUUAAAAUAUGGCCGUUUGUGAUUUAUACGCUAAAGCCAAGCGAAAGCGAUGGCACACCGACAGCGAGAAUAACAUCCACCCGAUCAAACA